GCAUUGUUGGUUCAGUGGUAGAAUUCUCGCCUGCCACGCGGGAGACCCGGGUCCGAUUCCCGGCCAAUGCA
rnacentral:tRNA from 2 species